rnacentral:rRNA from 1 species
UACGUAGGGGGCAAGCGUUGUCCGGAUUUAUUGGGCGUAAAGAGCGUGUAGGCGGCCGCACAGGUCCGUUGUGAAAACUGGAGGCUUAACCUUCAGACGUCGAUGGAAACCGUGCGGCUAGAGUCCGGAAGAGGAGAGUGGAAUUCCUGGUGUAGCGGUGAAAUGCGCAGAUAUCAAGAGGAACACCUGAGGUGAAGACGGGUUGCUGGGCUGACACUGACGCUGAGGCGCGAAAGCCAGGGGAGCAAACGGG